rnacentral:rRNA from 1 species
GUGGGGAAUAUUGCACAAUGGGGGAAACCCUGAUGCAGCAACGCCGCGUGAGUGAUGAAGGUUUUCGGAUCGUAAAGCUCUGUCUUUGGGGAAGAUAAUGACGGUACCCAAGGAGGAAGCCACGGCUAACUACGUGCCAGCAGCCGCGGUAAUACGUAGGUGGCGAGCGUUAUCCGGAUUUACUGGGCGUAAAGGGAGCGUAGGCGGAUGAUUAAGUGGGAUGUGAAAUACCCGGGCUCAACUUGGGUGCUGCAUUCCAAACUGGUUAUCUAGAGUGCAGGAGAGGAGAGUGGAAUUCCUAGUGUAGCGGUGAAAUGCGUAGAGAUUAGGAAGAACACCAGUGGCGAAGGCGACUCUCUGGACUGUAACUGACGCUGAGGCUCGAAAGCGUGGGGAGCAAACAGGAUUAGAAACCCUAGUAGUCC